CGUUAAUCGGAAUUACUGGGCGUAAAGCGCGCGUAGGUGGUUUGUUAAGUUGGAUGUGAAAUCCCCGGGCUCAACCUGGGAACUGCAUUCAAAACUGACUGACUAGAGUAUGGUAGAGGGUGGUGGAAUUUCCUGUGUAGCGGUGAAAUGCGUAGAUAUAGGAAGGAACACCAGUGGCGAAGGCGACCACCUGGACUAAUACUGACACUGAGGUGCGAAAGCGUGGGGAGCAAACAGGAUUAGAU
rnacentral:rRNA from 1 species